AGGAGCCGGAUGCGUGAAUUGCGCACGUCCGGAUCUGUGGGAGGCCGGCUCAGGUAACUGGCCGGUCGACCCGAC
rnacentral:misc_RNA from 1 species